UACGGAGGAUCCAAGCGUUAUCCGGAUUUAUUGGGUUUAAAGGGUGCGUAGGCGGAAUGAUAAGUCAGUGGUGAAAGCCUGCAGCUUAACUGCAGAACUGCCAUUGAUACUGUCAAUCUUGAGUACAUUUGAUGUGGGCGGAAUGUGUCAUGUAGCGGUGAAAUGCUUAGAUAUGACACAGAACACCGAUUGCGAAGGCAGCUCACAAAACUGUAACUGACGCUGAGGCACGAAAGCGUGGGUAUCAAAACAGG
rnacentral:rRNA from 1 species